AAGUCGAGCGGACCGACGGGAGCUUGCUCCCUUAGGUCAGCGGCGGCACUGGUGAGUAACACGUGGGUAACCUGCCUGUAAGACUGGGACCUCUCCAGGAAACCGGGGCUAAUACCGGAUGCUUGAUUGAACCGCAUGGUUCAAUCAUGAAAGGCGGCUUCGGCUGCCGUUUACAGAUGGACCCGCGGCGCAUUAGCUAGUUGGUGAGGUAACGGCUCACCAAGGCGACGAUGCGUAGCCGACCUGAGAGGGUGAUCGGCCACACUGGGACUGAGACACGGCCCAGACUCCUACGGGAGGCAGCAGUAGGGAAUCUUCCGCAAUGGACGAAAGUCUGACGGAGCAACGCCGCGUGAGUGAUGAAGGUUUUCGGAUCGUAAAGCUCUGUUGUUAGGGAAGAACAAGUACCGUUCGAAUAGGGCGGUACCUUGACGGUACCUAACCAGAAAGCCACGGCUAACUACGUGCCAGCAGCCGCGGUAAUACGUAGGUGGCAAGCGUUGUCCGGAAUUAUUGGGCGUAGAGCGCGCGCAGGCGGUUUCUUAAGUCUGAUGUGAAAGCCCCCGGCUCA
rnacentral:rRNA from 1 species